AGUGGAGUGGCCGAGCGGCUUAAGGCGCACGCUUGGAAAGCGUGUUGAGGUGCAAAUCUCACGGGGGUUCGAAUCCCUUCUCCACUACAA
rnacentral:tRNA from 1 species